UCAUAAGGCAAAACCUCCCACUCAGGGUUGGGCCUGGUUAGUAUUUGGAUGGGGGGCUGCAGGGAAUACCAGGUGCUAC
rnacentral:rRNA from 1 species